rnacentral:rRNA from 1 species
UACGUAGGUGACAAGCGUUGUCCGGAUUUACUGGGCGUAAAGAGCGCGCAGGCGGUCGUUCAAGUCGAGUGUGAAAGCCCCCGGCUCAACUGGGGAGGGUCACUCGAUACUGAUCGACUUGAAGGCAGGAGAGGGAAGUGGAAUUCCCGGUGUAGUGGUGAAAUGCGUAGAUAUCGGGAGGAACACCAGUGGCGAAGGCGGAACUCUGGGCCGGAACUGACGCUGAGGAGCGAAAGCGUGGGGAGCGAACAGG